AUUGAACGCUGGCGGUAUGCUUAACACAUGCAAGUCGAACGGCAGCAUUAUCUAGCUUGCUAGAUAGAUGGCGAGUGGCGAACGGGUGAGUAACGCGUAGGAAUAUGCCUUUUUGUGGGGGAUAACUUUAGGAAACUGGAGCUAAUACCGCAUAAUAUCUUCGGAUUAAAGCUGGGGACCUUCGGGCCUGGUGCAAAAGAUUAGCCUGCGUCCGAUUAGCUAGUUGGUAGGGUAAAGGCCUACCAAGGCGACGAUCGGUAGCUGGUCUGAGAGGAUGAUCAGCCACACUGGGACUGAGACACCGGCCCAGACUCCUACGGGAGGCAGCAGUGGGGAAUAUUGGACAAUGGGGGCAAACCCUGAUCCAGCAAUACCGCGUGUGUGAAGAAGGCCUGCGGGUUGUAAAGCACUUUCAAUCGGGAGGAAGGCCUGAUAGUUAAUAGCAUUCAGGAUUGACGUUACCGAUAGAAGAAGCACCGGCUAACUCCGUG
rnacentral:rRNA from 1 species